UUAUUAUAGCAAAGAGGAUACACCUGUUCCCAUACCGAACACAGAAGUUAAGCUCUUUAGCGCUGAUGGUACUUGGUGGGCGACCGCCUGGGAGAGUAAGA
rnacentral:rRNA from 1 species